GAGGGUAUAGCUCAGUGGUAGAGCGUUUUCUUAGCAUGCAUGAGGUCCUGGGUUCAAUCCCUAGCACCUCCA
rnacentral:tRNA from 1 species